CCUACGGGGGGCAGCAGUAGGGAAUCUUCCACAAUGGGCGAAAGCCUGAUGGAGCAACGCCGCGUGGGUGAAGAAGGUCUUCGGAUCGUAAAACCCUGUUGUUAGAGAAGAAAGUGCGUGAGAGUAACUGUUCACGUUUCGACGGUAUCUAACCAGAAAGCCACGGCUAACUACGUGCCAGCAGCCGCGGUAAUACGUAGGUGGCAAGCGUUAUCCGGAUUUAUUGGGCGUAAAGGGAACGCAGGCGGUCUUUUAAGUCUGAUGUGAAAGCCUUCGGCUUAACCGGAGUAGUGCAUUGGAAACUGGGAGACGUGAGUGCAGAAGAGGAGAGUGGAACUCCAUGUGUAGCGGUGAAAUGCGUAGAUAUAUGGAAGAACACCAGUGGCGAAAGCGGCUCUCUGGUCUGUAACUGACGCUGAGGUUCGAAAGCGUGGGUAGCAAACAGGAUUAGAUACCCUAGUAUC
rnacentral:rRNA from 1 species